CGCGGAUACAAUGUAAUCGAAUUAUAAUAAAUAUAUUUACAACACUCCAAAUACUGUUAUAUGUUUUGUUGGACCAUUUAAAAUUUAAAUGAUAAAUUUUGUCAAUACAUAAAAAUAGGACUUUAAAUUAGUAGUGUAUAUAUAUUGAAAAAAGUAUGUAGGAUCAUUAGUUGAAGAUUUAUAUACUGCAGAAAAUUUUGAAUCAUAGAGCCACUGUUCAUCAUGAUUGCAUAUGAUGCACAUAGUUAAUCAAUUAAUUAUCAUUUGUAAGAACUUAGGCCUCGACGUUCAGAUUUUCGGGUCGGAUUCGGGCCGAUUCUUUUAGGAUCCGGGUUCUUCGGGUCCUAAACUUUUAGU
rnacentral:lncRNA from 1 species